UGAAGACAGACUGAAGACAAGAGGCAAACACCUGUGUGUAAACUUAACACGGGAAGUGUCGUUUCAUUGGAUGGAGACACACAUAGUUGUAUGUAUCUGUGCAAAACUGCUACACCACAAGGCUCAAAUCACUCUAGAACAGAGGAAGUCAAGACACAAACCAAACUAAUGCUGAUGAUCAGUCCAAGAAUGACUUUGCGAAUGCAAGAGAAACGGUACACUUCAUCUCUACUCAGUUUUUUCAUCUAUUAUCCUUCAUUUUGGCCAUGGGAG